GACUUCCUUUAUUUAAAAGCAGUAGUAAACAGUUUUGGCCAAUACUCGGUGCAUUUGGAGGAAUGAAACCUUUUAUUAUAGCAUUGUACUGUGGAAUGCAAAAACAAGAUCCUGUUUCUGAAUUUCUAAAAGAUUUUUUAGCAGAAUUUUGUGAUUUAAAGGCAAACGGCUUUACUUUCGACAAUUUGUUGUUUAAACUUGAUUUAAAAUAUUUUUGCUGUGAUGCUCCAGCGAGGCAGGUUAAAAUGUGUCAAGGCGCAUAGUGGAUAUUACUCUUGUGAAAGAUGUACUGUAGAAGGCACUUAUCUAGAAAAUAGGGUUAUUUUUGAAGAGCAAGAAUGUCCUUUGCACAAUGAUCUGGAGUUUUCACAACAGAGUUAUCAAAGAAGUCAUCAAUUAGGUCAAAAUAUACUUAUUGAUUAUGAGAUUCCUUGUGUUAAAAGCUUUUUGUUGGACUCGAUGCAUUUAGUUUUUUUAGGUGUAACAAAAAGAUUACUCUAUUUCCUGAAAGAAGGUCCAAGAGUAUGUAGACUCUCUCAAAUGAAAAUUAACGAAAUAUCUUGUCAUCUGGAGCAAUUAAAGUUACUAAGUGAAGGUAAUAGGCAGCCAAGAUCUUUAAAAGAGUUAAAAAGGUGAAAAGCCACUGACUUUAAACAAUUUAUUUUGUACACUGGUCCAGUUGUUUUAAAAGGAAUUCUUACAAGAGAUAGCUAUAUAAAUUUUCUUUCUUUUAGUAUUACAAUAAGAAUUAUGUGCUACACAGAGUUUGAAAGAAGAACCGCAUUGUUACCAUAUACAAAAGAGCUUCUGGAGUGGUUUGUUUUUAACGCAAAAGAUUUUUAUGGUCGAACUUUUUCAACAUAUAACACCCAUUCCUUGAUCCAAAUACAUAAAGAUGUCAUGAAUCAUGGAGAAGAUUUGAUUUCAAUGUCAGCUUUUCAGUUUGAAAACCAUAUGCAGGUUUUAAAGCAUUUUAUAAGUAAUGCAAAUAGUCCACUUGUUCAAGUCAUCAAAAGAAGUACAGAGUUAGAGAAUGCAAGCGAAUUAAUUAAACAUAAACAUAUAAACGAUUAGAUCUCAAGUAUUAACAGAGAGAGUUGGUUUUGUUUAAAAAAUGGGAACUAAGUCAGUGUGAUAGAAAAAUUGGAUAAUGAGAUGUACAUUUGUAAAGUUGUUAACAAAAGGCGUACAAGUCUAUAAUGUCGUAUACAAGAGCUUGUUGGUUGGAAAAUAAAAAAGAUUUUGAGAGAGUAAUUCCUUCAAGUUGGGUGGAUACAACAAGAAAAGUUGUUUAUUGGCCAAAUGGUUGCAUGUAAAACGUGCAUUUGAAAAUUUAGAAAUGCCUAAAACUAGAUGGAAACAGGUCUCUCUAAUCAAAGUCAAAAUUAGCGGUACAAAAGAAGAAUGUGAAGGCUGCACAGAUUACACGACCACCGAGGAAAUAACCGAACCUGUGGAAAUAGUUUCUUCUGAUAAAGGAAAGUUGAUGUAAUAUUGUAGAUAUUUAUUAGUUAUGUUUACAUAUACAGCAUCAAAUGAACUUUUUGUUUGUUGCUAUAUUUUAUUUCCUGAGCUUUAACCAGUUUUUACUUUUUAGGUAUUUUCCUUUUUCGUAUUAGUUUCUGUUAGUAUCUAAUUUAUUUUUUGCAUUUUACCUUACAGGAAAAAUUAUUCCAAAUAUACCUCCAACAUUCCCAACAUGUAAAGUCAUUGCAACUGCCCCACCACCCCAUUUACAAUCCACCCCAGUUAGACCAUCACCAUCAAAAUCAAAUCACUCACAACCUGGUUUACAUUCAAGAUCGCAGUCAGGGUCAAACUUGCAUUCACGAGCACAUUCACGGUCAAGGUCACGAUUACGGUCUAAGUCUCAUUCACGUUCAAGAUCAUGUUAUCAGUCGAAGCCUCGUUCACGAUCGAGGUCAGGUUCACACUUGAAGUCAAAUUCACAUUCAAGGUCCCAUUUGCAGUCGAAGUCCCAAUUACGUUUGAAGUCUUGCUCACAGUCUAGGUCCCAAUCACGAUGUUCGCGAUCUCGAUCAAACUCAGACUCAAGAUCUUCUCAUUCAAAUUUAAAUGUCUCCAGACUUGGGUUAGUUGCAGUAUCACCAAUUGUCUUUUUCUCGUUUAGACUUUCAAUACACUGCGAUAAAAUUGCUGACAAAGCAGUUAGAAAACCAAAAUACAAUACACCAACAGCGCGAAACAACAGUGGCUAGAAUGAAUUUAAGUAAUCUUCCUGCUAAAUUUCGCCAAGUUGAUGAACUUUUGGAUUUUGAAAAGGUCUUGGUUAGUGAUGAAGAUCUGUCUAAGAAACUUAUUGCUCGUCUUUCAAGAGUUGGUGGAAUUACUUUGAAAAAAAAUAUUAAAUACAUCCUAGAAAGCCUGAUGUCACAAAAAGUUAUGGCUUGUUUUAACAUGAAAGGAACAAACCGCUAUGAAAAAAAAUCAGACACACAAGAUAAAUUAAGUUUCGAAAAAUUAAAAAUUUACGAGCUUAUCGUUGGUAUUUUUUUGUUGUUUUUUAAUAAAAUGUUUACGGUUAACAGAUUAUUUAAACUGUCAUUAGUUUAUUGUAUACUUUAUUUAUUACUUAAAAUAACUUUUA
rnacentral:lncRNA from 1 species